rnacentral:rRNA from 1 species
UUAACCGAAUAGGGGAGCCGGAGGGAAACCGAGUCUUAAUUGGGCGUUAAGUUGCAGGGUAUAGACCCGAAACCCGGUGAUCUAGCCAUGGGCAGGUUGAAGGUUGGGUAACACUAACUGGAGGACCGAACCGACUAAUGUUGAAAAAUUAGCGGAUGACCUGUGGCUGGGGGUGAAAGGCCAAUCAAACCGGGAGAUAGCUGGUUCUCCCCGAAAGCUAUUUAGGUAGCGCCUCGUGAAUUCAUCUCCGGGGGUAGAGCACUGUUUCGGCUAGGGGGCCAUCCCGGCUUACCAACCCGAUGCAAACUGCGAAUACCGGAGAAUGUUAUCACGGGAGACACACGGCGGGUGCUAACGUCCGUCGUGAAGAGGGAAACAACCCAGACCGCCAGCUAAGGUCCCAAAGUCACAGUUAAGUGGGAAACGAUGUGGGAAGGCUCAGACAGCCAGGAUGUUGGCUUAGAAGCAGCCAUCAUUUAAAGAAAGCGUAAUAGCUCACUGGUCGAGUCGGCCUGCGCGGAAGAUGUAACGGGGCUAAACUGUGCACCGAAGCUGCGGCAGCGACGCUUAUGCGUUGUUGGGUAGGGGAGCGUUCUGUAAGCCUGCGAAGGUGUCCUGUGAGGGAUGCUGGAGGUAUCAGAAGUG